rnacentral:tRNA from 1 species
GCCCUCGUAGCUCAGAGGAUAGAGCGCCGGCCUCCGGAGCCGGGCGCACAGGUUCGAUUCCUGUCGAGGGCG